CAACACGACGGUUCUUCGACUGUGUCAACAAACCGGACAGGGAGCUUAAUCCUCUCAAGCGUGAUACAGACAGGGCUCCCACAGUCACCCUCAGUUAUCAGAGAGGCAAGCCCAUGUCCGACGCAUCACAUCUACAAGAGGAGAAGAUGAAGUUCAGAGAAGAUCUACAAAGACACACAGAUGGUGCAGAGGCCUUGCUGGAUCUUCAUGAGUCAGCCAAGAACCCAGAGCCAGAGGACAUCACUAAGAUGAUACAUGAUUGACAAGGUCAUAGAAGAUUCAUGAGAUAGAAGAACCCCAGUGAACCCUCCUGUUAGUUAACAUUUUAUUCCAUUAAAAGCAGUUCCUUUCUUUCCAGUUCUUCUC